rnacentral:rRNA from 1 species
UACGGGGGGGGGCAAGCGUUGUUCGGAAUUACUGGGCGUAAAGGGCUCGUAGGCGGCCAACUAAGUCCGACGUGAAAUCCCUCAGCUUAACUGGGGAACUGCGUGUGAUACUGGAUGGCUUGGAUUUGGGAGAGGGAUGCGGAAUUCCAGGUGUAGCGGUGAAAUGCGUAGAUAUCUGGAGGAACACCGGUGGCGAAGGCGGCAUCCUGGACCAAUAUUGACGCUGAGGAGCGAAAGCCAGGGGAGCAAACGGG